GACCCUCGCUUCACUUGUCACGGACUCGCGUCCACAAACCACAACCAGCUCACUCAAGAACAAAGAACCCAACCCAUGGCUUCUCCCAAGCCGCUCCUCCUGCUCGCCACCUCGUUCCUGAGCUGCGGCCUCCUGGUGGCCGCCGACUACGCCCCAAUGACCCUGACCGUGGUGAACAACUGCCCCUACCCGGUGUGGCCGGGCAUCCAGGCCAACUCCGGGCACGACGUCCUGGAGGGCGGCGGCUUCUUCCUCCCGCCGCUCUCCCACAAGUCCUUCCCGGCGCCGGCCCACCCCUGGUCCGGCCGCAUCUGGGCGCGCACGGGCUGCGCGGGCGCCGGCGCGCAGCUCCACUGCGCCACGGGCGACUGCGGCGGGCGGCUCCAGUGCGGCGGGCUCGGCGGCGCGGCGCCCGCGACGCUGGCGUAGGUGAACCUCCACCACGGCAACGACCAGACCUCGUACGGCGUGAGCGUGGUGGACGGCUUCAACGUGGGCCUGUCCGUGACCCCGCACGAGGGCCGCGGCAACUGCCCCGUCCUCGCCUGCCGCAAGAACCUCACCGAGACCUGCCCCGGCGAGCUGCAGCUGCGCUCCCCGGCCGGCAGCGUCCUCGCGUGCAAGAGCGGCUGCGAGGCCUUCCGCACCGACGAGCUGUGCUGCCGCAACAUGUACAACAGCCCGCACACCUGCCGCGCCUCCAAGUACUCGGAGUUCUUCAAGCGAGAGUGCCCGCAGGCCUUCACCUACGCGCACGACAGCCCCUCGCUCACCCACGAGUGCGCCGCGCCGCGCGAGCUCAAGGUCAUCUUCUGCCACUAGAGCUCGGAGGGCUGGGCUGGGCUGGGCGCGCCGCGCCCGCCCGUGCGCCGCCGCCGCCAACAAGUGUCGCUAGUAGAGGUAGUAGGAUGCCUGGAAUAGCUGUGGGCCUGUGGGCUGUGGCUGUGUUCCCGUCGUGUCUGUGGCGGUGUGGCCUGUGUAGGCUGUCUGUACUCUGUAGUAUACUGGGUUGUUGGAUGCAUGCGUUCUGGCCGCAAGACUGAUGUCAUGCUGUUGCUGCUUACUACAGUUUGCAGUCUGAAAUAAAAACUUGUUUGAUGAGCACUGUA
rnacentral:misc_RNA from 1 species